UUGCAAACAUAAGUACUGACAUUGUUCCGCAGCCUACAACUUGCAAUAGCUCAUAAUUUGAUACCACUGCAUAUCAAUAGAUGCCAAACAGGUUCUUCAACAUAUUCAAAACACAGCUAACUCUCAUAUGUCAUUUUUUUAUGAUUGUAGGCACCUCCUCAACCACCUGAAUGAUUCACCACUUGCAAAUGAGUACAAGGAGCAAAAUGCAGUCGCUGACAAAAUGACAUAAUUUGGUUUCUUCAAUGAAUGGUGACAACAUAAGGUUAUUUAACCAAUCUCAUAUUUUUGUUAUGAAUCUCCUAGAAGCAGAUCAAAGAGGGGUUACAAAAUCAAGAAUUACAAGAUAUGCUCCAUCC
rnacentral:lncRNA from 1 species